rnacentral:rRNA from 1 species
CUUCAGCCAUACUGACUUGGACAUUUUAUCUCAUCAGAUCUAAACUAAGCAGUGUUAGGCAUGGUCUGUGCUGGGAUGGGAGACUCAAAGAAAAACACAAAUGGUACAUAAAGU